rnacentral:tRNA from 1 species
GGUAAUAUGGCUGAGUAGGCAGCGAGCUGUAAAUUCGCGCACAGAGGGCAAGGCCUCUUGUUACCA